UACAUCAGAGCAGAAAGAGCACUCACCCACCAAGGUGACUCAUAACAUCAAAAUCAGUGGAAACAUGCCUUGACUGCUAAGGUGCAAAGCAUGGCCUGGGUGAGUCAGGAAUGCCCAGGGACAGAGCCAACACAAUGCUGUGCUCACCCUGCCUGUGUGUAAGGAACAAGGGGUGCAAGAACAGGGAAACAAUUCUGACUUGUGGUAUGGAACACAGAAGUAUCAUGCUGAGACAUCUGAGUUAGAGAUCCGAGUUACUAGAAAGAGUGUUGUCACCUUACACACGUUCAGCCUAAGCCCAAAGUCAACUGCCUGAUCUUUUUGAUAUCCAGAUGCUGUGGCAGGCAGAACUUACUCAGUGGGAAAAAGAAGAUGCUUCCACAUAGCACGAUACGUCUGCAGAGCUCAGGAAAUAUUGUGUUACUCCUCGGGGCACACCAACAUCCCUGCCCUGUGCAGGAG